rnacentral:rRNA from 1 species
GUUGGGUAGGGGAGCGUUCUGUAAGCCUGUGAAGGUGGGCUGUGAGGGUUGCUGGAGGUAUCAGAAGUGCGAAUGCUGACAUAAGUAACGAUAAAGCGGGUGAAAAGCCCGCUCGCCGGAAGACCAAGGGUUCCUGUCCAACGUUAAUCGGGGCAGGGUGAGUCGACCCCUAAGGCGAGGCCGAAAGGCGUAGUCGAUGGGAAACGGGUUAAUAUUCCCGUACUUGGUGUUACUGCGAAGGGGGGACGGAGAAGGCUAUGUUGGCCGGGCGACGGUUGUCCCGGUUUAAGCGUGUAGGUGUGUGUUCCAGGUAAAUCCGGUUCACUUUAACACUGAGGCGUGACGACGAGGCACUACGGUGCUGAAGCAACAAAUGCCCUGCUUCCAGGAAAAGCCUCUAAGCAUCAGGUAACAUCAAAUCGUACCCCAAACCGACACAGGUGGUCAGGUAGAGAAUACCAAGGCGCUUGAGAGAACUCGGGUGAAGGAACUAGGCAAAAUGGUGCCGUAACUUCGGGAGAAGGCACGCUGACACGUAGGUGAAGUGAUUUACUCAUGGAGCUGAAGUCAGUCGAAGAUACCAGCUGGCUGCAACUGUUUAUUAAAAACACAGCACUGUGCAAACACGAAAGUGGACGUAUACGGUGUGACGCCUGCCCGGUGCCGGAAGGUUAAUUGAUGGGGUCAGCGCAAGCGAAGCUCCUGAUCGAAGCCCCGGUAAACGGCGGCCGUAACUAUAACGGUCCUAAGGUAGCGAAAUUCCUUGUCGGGUAAGUUCCGACCUGCACGAAUGGCGUAAUGAUGGCCAGGCUGUCUCCACCCGAGACUCAGUGAAAUUGAACUCGCUGUGAAGAUGCAGUGUACCCGCGGCAAGACGGAAAGACCCCGUGAACCUUUACUAUAGCUUGACACUGAACAUUGAGCCUUGAUGUGUAGGAUAGGUGGGAGGCUUUGAAGUGUGGACGCCAGUCUGCAUGGAGCCGACCUUGAAAUACCACCCUUUAAUGUUUGAUGUUCUAACGUGGACCCGUGAUCCGGGUUGCGGACAGUGUCUGGUGGGUAGUUUGACUGGGGCGGUCUCCUCCUAAAGAGUAACGGAGGAGCACGAAGGUUGGCUAAUCCUGGUCGGACAUCAGGAGGUUAGUGCAAUGGCAUAAGCCAGCUUGACUGCGAGCGUGACGGCGCGAGCAGGUGCGAAAGCAGGUCAUAGUGAUCCGGUGGUUCUGAAUGGAAGGGCCAUCGCUCAACGGAUAAAAGGUACUCCGGGGAUAACAGGCUGAUACCGCCCAAGAGUUCAUAUCGACGGCGGUGUUUGGCACCUCGAUGUCGGCUCAUCACAUCCUGGGGCUGAAGUAGGUCCCAAGGGUAUGGCUGUUCGCCAUUUAAAGUGGUACGCGAGCUGGGUUUAGAACGUCGUGAGACAGUUCGGUCCCUAUCUGCCGUGGGCGCUGGAGAACUGAGGGGGGCUGCUCCUAGUACGAGAGGACCGGAGUGGACGCAUCACUGGUGUUCGGGUUGUCAUGCCAAUGGCACUGCCCGGUAGCUAAAUGCGGAAGAGAUAAGUGCUGAAAGCAUCUAAGCACGAAACUUGCCCCGAGAUGAGUUCUCCCUGAGACUU